GGAUUCGCUUGGUGCAGGUCG
rnacentral:siRNA from 1 species